AUUGAACGCUGGCGGCAUGCCUUACACAUGCAAGUCGAACGGUAACAGGUUAAGCUGACGAGUGGCGAACGGAUGAGUAAUAUAUCGGAACGUGCCCAGUCGUGGGGGGAUAACUACUCGAAAGAGUAGCUAAUACCGCAUACGACCUGAGGGUGAAAGCGGGGGAUCGCAAGACCUCGCGCGAUUGGAGCGGCCGAUAUCAGAUUAGGUAGUUGGUGGGGUAAAAGCUCACCAAGCCAACGAUCUGUAGCUGGUCUGAGAGGACGACCAGCCACACUGGGACUGAGACACGGCCCAGACUCCUACGGGAGGCAGCAGUGGGGAAUUUUGGACAAUGGGCNCAAGCCUGAUCCAGCCAUGCCGCGUGCGGGAAGAAGGCC
rnacentral:rRNA from 1 species